rnacentral:rRNA from 1 species
UACGAAGGGGGCUAGCGUUGUUCGGAUUUACUGGGCGUAAAGCGCACGUAGGCGGAUCGUUAAGUCGGGGGUGAAAUCCUGGAGCUCAACUCCAGAACUGCCUUCGAUACUGGCGAUCUUGAGUCCGGAAGAGGUGAGUGGAACUCCUAGUGUAGAGGUGGAAUUCGUAGAUAUUAGGAAGAACACCAGUGGCGAAGGUGGCUCACUGGUCCGGUACUGACGCUGAGGUGCGAAAGCGUGGGGAGCAAACAGG